GAUGAAGAACGUAGCGAAAUGCGAUACGUAAUGUGAAUUGCAAAUUCAGUGAAUCAUCGAGUCUUUGAACGCACAUUGCGCCCCCUGGUAUUCCGGGGGGCAUGCCUGUUCGAGCGUCAUUUCACCACUCAAGCCUCGCUUGGUAUUGGGCAACGCGGUCCGCCGCGUGCCUCAAAUCGACCGGCUGGGUCUUCUGUCCCCUAAGCGUUGUGGAAACUAUUCGCUAAAGGGUGUUCGGGAGGCUACGCCGUAAAACAACCCCAUUUCUAAGGUUGACCUCGGAUCAGGUAGGGAUACCCGCUGAACUUAAGCAUAUCAAUAAGCGGAGGA
rnacentral:misc_RNA from 1 species